UCCGCAGUAGCUCAACGGUAGAGCGUCCGGCUGUUAACCGGAGGGUUGGGGGUUCGAGUCCCUCCUGCGGAGCCA
rnacentral:tRNA from 3 species